GUCGAUAACUCUUCUGCUGUGCCUGGCUACAAUGCUGCUCGCUCAAGUCACCUGCCAAAUAAGUGGCGUGUCAAAUUGCCUUUGUCUCAAGACAUCAAAUCGAGUUCUCCGCAAGGAAAUGAUUGAAAGUUACAUGAUACAAAAAGCAGGCGUCUGCCAUAUUGAUGCCAUUUUAUUUAAAAGAGUCAGUGGUCGUUUCAUUUGUGCCAAUCCACUAAUGCAUUGGGUGAAAAGAGCCGUGGAAUUUGUGGACAAGAAGAAGGCAAUUAAAAAGAAAGCACAUCCCAUGAUCCCUGCACCAACAUUUACA